UUUUCUCUCAGUUUAAUAAUCAGAAGACCCAGCCACAAGCCUCGCAAGCCUGGUCUGCAGAGAUAAGGCAGAGUUGCUGUGCCUGGGGAGGAUGGUGGGGUGUGGACGGGCUGCUCCCCGCAGGAGCAGGGCUGCGCACCCCUAGGGCUGCUGGGGAGGGCACAGGAGACCCUCAGCCCGCCCCGGGGAGCGGCUCAGAGAAAGCAGAGAGUGCCAGAGCCCCCGGCUUCAGCGCUGGCUGCGGCUCUUCGCGGGCUCGCUCUCGCCUUUCAGCUUCGGCUGGAACGAUUUGCAGCUCAAACGCCCCCCUGAGAGCCGCUAACCUUUGGAUAAGGUUUGGCACCAUUAUCCUGCUUGGGUUAAUUGGGAGUUAGGGAGAGCCCAGGAGUGACGCGGCUGCUUCCAUCCGUCCGUCCGUCUGUCUGUCCGUCCGUCCACCCGCCCCUCCAGCCUUCCCCGGUGCGUUGCGGGCAGCGAUGGAGAGAGAAGCAGAGCCUCCAGAAACAGAGCUCCUUCACGCUAUCUUUCAUAACGAACUCGUCUUUGGAUGAAUAAAAAAAAAUAAUGUUAAUAAAACCGAAAAAUAAAUCGUUGGAUUAAUCCCU